rnacentral:rRNA from 1 species
CUUCGGGUGGGGAUUAGUGGCGAACGGGUGAGUAACACGUGGGCAAUCUGCCCUGCACUCUGGGACAAGCCCUGGAAACGGGGUCUAAUACCGGAUACUGACCCUCGCAGGCAUCUGCGAGGUUCGAAAGCUCCGGCGGUGCAGGAUGAGCCCGCGGCCUAUCAGCUAGUUGGUGAGGUAAUGGCUCACCAAGGCGACGACGGGUAGCCGGCCUGAGAGGGCGACCGGCCACACUGGGACUGAGACACGGCCCAGACUCCUACGGGAGGCAGCAGUGGGGAAUAUUGCACAAUGGGCGAAAGCCUGAUGCAGCGACGCCGCGUGAGGGAUGACGGCCUUCGGGUUGUAAACCUCUUUCAGCAGGGAAGAAGCGAAAGUGACGGUACCUGCAGAAGAAGCGCCGGCUAACUACGUGCCAGCAGCCGCGGUAAUACGUAGGGCGCAAGCGUUGUCCGGAAUUAUUGGGCGUAAAGAGCUCGUAGGCGGCUUGUCACGUCGGUUGUGAAAGCCCGGGGCUUAACCCCGGGUCUGCAGUCGAUACGGGCAGGCUAGAGUUCGGUAGGGGAGAUCGGAAUUCCUGGUGUAGCGGUGAAAUGCGCAGAUAUCAGGAGGAACACCGGUGGCGAAGGCGGAUCUCUGGGCCGAUACUGACGCUGAGGAGCGAAAGCGUGGGGAGCGAACAGGAUUAGAUACCCUGGUAGUCCACGCCGUAAACGGUGGGCACUAGGUGUGGGCAACAUUCCACGUUGUCCGUGCCGCAGCUAACGCAUUAAGUGCCCCGCCUGGGGAGUACGGCCGCAAGGCUAAAACUCAAAGGAAUUGACGGGGCCCGCACAAGCGGCGGAGCAUGUGGCUUAAUUCGACGCAACGCGAGACCUUACCAAGGCUUGACAUACACCGGAAAACCCUGGAGACAGGGUCCCCCUUGUGGUCGGUGUACAGGUGGUGCAUGGCUGUCGUCAGCUCGUGUCGUGAGAUGUUGGGUUAAGUCCCGCAACGAGCGCAACCCUUGUCCCGUGUUGCCAGCAGGCCCUUGUGGUGCUGGGGACUCACGGGAGACCGCCGGGGUCAACUCGGAGGAAGGUGGGGACGACGUCAAGUCAUCAUGCCCCUUAUGUCUUGGGCUGCACACGUGCUACAAUGGCCGGUACAAUGAGCUGCGAUACCGCGAGGUGGAGCGAAUCUCAAAAAGCCGGUCUCAGUUCGGAUUGGGGUCUGCAACUCGACCCCAUGAAGUCGGAGUCGCUAGUAAUCGCAGAUCAGCAUUGCUGCGGUGAAUACGUUCCCGGGCCUUGUACACACCGCCCGUCACGUCACGAAAGUCGGUAACACCCGAAGCCGGUGGCCCAACCCCUUGUGGGAGGGAGCUGUCGAAGGUGGGACUGGCG